UACGUAUGGUGCAAGCGUUAUCCGGAUUUACUGGGUGUAAAGGGAGCGUAGGCGGCGCGUUAAGUCUGAUGUGAAAACCCGAGGCUCAAUCACGGGAGUGCAUUGGAAACUGGCGGGCUGGAGUGCCGGAGAGGUAAGCGGAAUUCCUAGUGUAGCGGUGAAAUGCGUAGAUAUUAGGAGGAACACCAGUGGCGAAGGCGGCUUACUGGACGGCAACUGACGCUGAGGCUCGAAAGCGUGGGGAGCAAACAGG
rnacentral:rRNA from 1 species